AACGAGAGUGAUGGAAAUCGGGAGGAAAAACAAAGUUGAUUGAAGUGGAGAAAGAUAUAAGAAGGCCGCCAUGUUGUGUCCUUUCUGUGGCCAACAUCUGGGGACAGUUCAAGUGUUCUGUGGCUCCUGUGGCAAACAUGUACAGUUUGUGGCAGAAGUUGAACACAACAGCCUUCCAUAAGGAGGGUCAGGAACACGCAACUCUGGAUGUGUUUGAAUGUUUGAGGAGCAAUAAACGACAGCAGCUUUUUGGCAUGUUAAAACUAUUAUUUUCUGCCUCGCUCAUGAGAGGAACAGCUGGCGAAAUUACAGCCUCGCCUACUGAUUUCAAAUGUGUGCUCUAAAAUGAUAUUUAUAAAUGACUAUUAUUAUAAGCAAGACAAUAAAUGGCAAAGAUAUGUAGAAAAUAAACGUAUUUGAGAAACAUUCAUAAUGAACGUAACGUGGGAGAAAAUACGUUUCUAGCUAAACGUAAUUGAGAAUGCAGUUGAGUUCUGUGGGAACGUCAUUUUUAGGAGACAGGGUUGUCACAAUACAUUCUGAUGAAAAAUACAAAUGAUUAUGAAUACAAAUAAAAUAAAAGAAGCCUCCCGUGAGUUACUACAAGCUAUAAAUUAGAUUUUAAAAACGUUUCAUAGAAUAAAAGCUCACUGCUGGACGUUGUAUAAAUGCGUGUGCGCACCACGACAAAGGAGCCUCAUUCACUUUACAUUGGGUUGUUUGCGUGGUGCAGACACGUAAAUGUAGCAGAGUCCGUGACUCCACCACGCACUGCGGUGUUAAGGAGUCGUGGUGGAGUCACGCAUUCUGGUGAGACCAGGUUGUAUUGAACCUGCUGCAAGAUGUAUUUGUUCUUUUUGCAGAGUUCUGCAACAAUGUGUGCCGCAGUCAGGUAUUCUGUGCUGGGAAAGACACACUGAUGUAUUGUAAUAUUAAAUGAUGAAGCUAGUAAUAAGAUUUAAAGUAUAGAAUAGAACAAUUAAGUGGUAAUAGUAACAAUUAAUGCCUUUGCUCCAUUUUGUCUUCUGGCUCAGACUGGCUAUUAAUAAUGAUACACAUUUGUGUAGUUGCUGCAGUGAGAAGACAGUUGAAUAAUUACUUUCAAAUACAUAAUAUACGCAUGACAGUCGUAUUUACAAAAGGAUGUCGAUCCUCUUCCUGUUUCUUUAAUACAUUGGGUUCUAAACUGACAACAGCACUUUGUCGUACUCCUGCACAAUCCUUGUAAACAUUUGAAAUGGAUGCAACAAACAAUAUCUGAUCUUUGAAAAAUAUUUGUGGGUGUUUUUUGUAUCGUCUUCACUAAGAUGUCCGAUGUUGUGGGUGUCAUUUGGAAAUGUAUGAAAGUAUAAUUGUUCUGCUUCCUGGCAAUGUUACCCACUGUGAUUGGAGGCUAUACAAACAAACAAAUGUAAAAUAAAGAUACACCAAACAACUGUGUCACGAUGCAACUGUCAACCUCGUUUACCGAUAGAAGUGGUUCUGACCCGGGGCAGAACCACUUCUAUCUACUGGACCUCUUCCUGGAAUGGGCUUGGUUCCUAUUUGUACUCAGGAAAUACAUGCAGUUGAUCUAAUCACAGUGUCAUUAGUACACAAAGGUAUUUAUUGAUUUCAUCUUCCCAAAUUCGAACCUACAUGGUAUAAUUACAUUUUGAAUCAGUCUUACCCGAUCAGACGCUGGCUGUGGGGCCGGAGAGGUCUGAUAAAGGUAAACAACAAAUAUAUUCAAACUACUGUGCUGUUAAAACAUUCUGCUUCUUGUGGCACAAAAUAAUAUGUUGGCAAUGCUUUAUUUUACCCUGCAAACUGUUGUCCAUUCGUGGAGUGCUCACUGUUGGAACAUUUGGAAUGUCUCAGGCUGUACUUUAUAUCCAUAAAGAAAAAGUAAAUCUGUUAACAGUUGUUUCAUAUGGAUGUUGAGAGGUAUCCAUAUAUCCUUCAUGUUGCUCUC